rnacentral:rRNA from 1 species
UAAUACGGAGGGGGCUAGCGUUGUUCGGAAUUACUGGGCGUAAAGCGUACGUAGGCGGCUUUGUAAGUUAGAGGUGAAAGCCCGGAGCUCAACUCCGGAAUUGCCUUUAAGACUGCAUCGCUUGAAUCAUGGAGAGGUUAGUGGAAUUCCGAGUGUAGAGGUGAAAUUCGUAGAUAUUCGGAAGAACACCAGUGGCGAAGGCGACUAACUGGACAUGUAUUGACGCUGAGGUACGAAAGCGUGGGGAGCAAACAGGAUUAGAUACCCUGGUAGUCCACGCCGUAAACGAUGAUGACUAGCUGUCGGGGCGCUUAGCGUUUCGGUGGCGCAGCUAACGCGUUAAGUCAUCCGCCUGGGGAGUACGGCCGCAAGGUUA